ensembl:lncRNA
CUCGUCCAUGGUGGACAGGCAGGGAGAGUCAGGCAGGGAGAGUCAGUCAGGGAGAGUCUCGUCCAUGGUGGACAGGCAGGGAGAGUCUCGUCCAUGGUGGACAGGCAGGGAGAGUCAGGCAGGGAGAGUCAGGCAGGGAGAGUCAGUCAGGGAGAGUCUCGUCCAUGGUGGACAGGCAGGGAGAGUCAGGCAGGGAGAGUCAGUCAGGGAGAGUCUCGCAGGGAGAGUCAGUCAGGGAGAGUCUCAUCCAUGGUGGACAGGCAGGGAGAGUCAGGCAGGGAGAGUCUCGUCCAUGGUGGACAGGCAGGGAGAGUCUCGUCCAUGGUGGACAGGCAGGGGAAGUCUCGUCCAUGGUGGUCAGGCAGGGAGAUUCAGGCAGGGAGAGUCUCGUCCAUGGUGGACAGGCAGGGGAGUCUCGUCCAUGGUGGUCAGGUAGGGAGAGUCUCGUCCAUGGUGGUCAGGCAGGGAGAUUCAGGCAGGGAGAGUCUCGUCCAUGGUGGACAGGCAGGGAGAGUCUCGUCCAUGGUGGACAGGCAGGGAGAGUCUCGUACAUGGUGGACAGGCAGGGAGAGUCUCGUACAUGGUGGACAGGCAGGGAGAGUCUCGUCCAUGGUGGACAGGCAGGGAGAGUCUCGUCCAUGGUGGACAGGCAGGGAGAGUCUCGUCCAUGGUGGACAGGCAGGGAGAGUCUCGUCCAUGGUGGACAGGCAGGGAGAGUCUCGUACAUGGUGGACAGGCAGGGAGAGUCUCGUACAUGGUGGACAGGCAGGGAGAGUCUCGUACAUGGUGGACA